rnacentral:lncRNA from 1 species
AGGGAGGGAGGGAGAGGGAGAGGGAGAGAGAGAGAGGAGAUCAAGUUUCAUUUCUUGGUUUUUGGCAUUACAAAUAGUCCAAUCAUUCUCUUGCAACAGGUCUAUGUUGAUUGGUACAUUAUAUUUUACAUGAAAAGAUCAUUUGAGGUGCAUCUUUGAACUUAUUCAUAGAUUAAAUCAAUUUUGAACUUUUAAAUAAUGUAUGAGAUGCAACACAUAUAGUUGGCUUUGUUUUGUUACUAAAUAAUACUGGCAAGGGUAGGUAACAGAGAAAUAGGCAUAAGGUUGUUUUGGGUAAAUUUUUUAUAUAAUGGAAAUGGUGAGUAAUUUAUCAACAUAUAUAUAGAGACAUUUUAAUUUUUUUUGUCUAAUUGAUGUUGUUAUGUGUAUGUUUUUUUAUUAUAUUUAUUUAUAGCUUAGUUUGGAAGUAUAUACAUGUGAGUUUGGAGUGAAGAAGAUUCAAGGUUAAUUGUGAUGCAUGGGAUGGGUGAACAUCUCAACUAACAUCUCCCACAAAAAUCUGUAUAAUAGACACCUUGUGGCGGAUCCACCUCGGAUUAGCCAAAUCGAGGCACGGUUAAGUUGCCUAACACGCGACACCCGGCCUUAAUCAGGCUAACUCGAGAUGCCGUCGGAUUUCAUCCGAUUUAACCACUUGAACAGGACCGAGUUAGCAAACUCACACGAAGGUGAGCGGUUCCAGAGAAUACAACAAGUCCACUGAGUUAAAAAAUCUUACCAUUUUUGUUCAACAUUAAAACAAACAUCAGAGUUUUACAAGGUUCAAAGGAAAUGACAGAAGGUAAAAUAACAAGCGGAAGCUACUUCGUCAGGGUCGGACAUCCCUGCUGAGGCCAACCGGGACGUCAGUGAUCCCUCUCCUCGCCGUCCGAGGAGGGAUCCCACUCGACCGUCCAACCCGGAGGGAGUUGGGGCGGCCAAGUGCCAACAGAAGAAGGCUCGGGAGCAGCAACUUCACCUGAAAAAGAAAAAGCCACAACAAGGCUGAGAUACUAAGCUCAACAAGACUUAACCGACAGGAGGAAGCUACUCCACCACUUCUAGACAUGCAAGGCUCUUUGGCUGAGGGGUUUGUUUGCCAAAAGCACUAUGUAGAUCCCUAUUUUCAAGGUUUUAGCUCAGGUUCUAAGUUCAUUAUUCGGUCUAGGUUAGCAACAUACUCUAAGCAAACAUAGAACCAACCAAAAGGUAUAUAUAUCAUUAUCAAGACCAUGUCAUCAUCAGAUUCCUUUAUUACUCCGGGUAGCAUAGCGAUCAAGCAGUCUCAAACUGUGAGAGGCAGACGAAUCAAUUCGAGUUCUUUAACCAUGCAUGGUGAACCUAACCUCACGACAUCCGCGCACCACCGAGGGUCGCUUCCUGUGUCGGCCUUCCCCAACAAUCCCCUAACCCGUGUCGGGCCCAUUUCCUUUGGUGCAAGGUUCCACAGACCCUGCCUCUACCGUUCUGUGACCACGCUUGCCACCACGUGCGGCCGCAGGGGAAACUCCGUUCCAAGGACAAUGGGGCGACCGCUCACGUCUAGGUUCAAUCCGGUACUAGGCUUCCUCAUCCCAUAAUAAGGAUGAGGUUAGUACUUUCAAACACUUGAUCACGAACACCACCACUGUCGGGCCUUAGCAAGUUUCAUAUACAGACGGGGCGAUCAGCCGACCACCAAAAGUUAACCAGAACCCUGCCCCGUCCAUCGUCCUUAUAGUUGUAACAGAAGAGGAACAACCAACUCCUACGAACUCGCGAGUGACAGGAAAUCACUCGGCUUUUACCGCUUUCUAGUUAAACAAAGCAUCUACUCGGUCCAACAGCUAGUGUUCAGAUCAAGGGAUCUAAGUUAUGCAUCUAGGGUUGCAAAAAACUCCUAUACGUAAAUGCACAACACGAUGAAGAAGGCAUGCACAAGUUUGGGGAAAAGCCUGGGGUUCAUGCACCUGGGCUUGCCUUCAAACAAGGAGGAAGGGAAGGGAUCUUCUGCUUGGACGGCUUCGGCUUCUGGGGGCAGGAGCUUUGCUGCAGGUUCGUCUUCGGGCGCCGGGUACAACUCGUAGUUACCGUCGGCAAGAUGCAACUCUACACGAAAUGCAAUGCAAGGGUUAGUACUUUAGAUGGUUAUUUCAACAGCAACUCUUGCAAGGUUUUGCUCGAAGAUUUUGUAGCAAGCUAUGGAAAAAGGUGGGGAAGUGUACUGGGGUUGGUGGAGAUUAAGAUAGAAGGGUCGGAUGGGAAGGAACUUAUCAUCAGACCCUUAAACUAGAGGAAUAGAUGUGCUGGGGGUCCUCAGACUUAACGUAGAGAAGUCCCCAAAUCUUUACACAUAUACACUCGGGUCUAGGAAAAGGAUACAGCCGAGCCCUCGGGCGAGGCAGAGAAAGGGGUCGGUCGAAUGGAUAGGGUCGGGUGAGACGGAACAGGGGUCGGGCGGACAAAAGGGGUCGGACGAGGCAGACAAGGGUCGGACGAGCAGAAGGGGUCGGACGAGGCGGAAAAAGGGUCGGCAGCUUACCUUCUUCUUACAGGGAAAGCUUGGGGUCGGGAAAGAGCAAACUUGGGCGGAGGAACUGGAGCACUAAGACUGGGCAGGCGAUGAUGUCCGGCGGUGCUCCGGCGGUGGCGGGGGUUCUUGUGGACCACAAGCAAGCUUUGGCGCAGCGCGGAGGAGCAAGCGACUGGGUGGAUUGGGGAAAGCGGUGCGGAGAGGAGGGUUCCUCAGGGACUUAGGCGGUAGCGCUCGAACACUAAGCAAGGGAACGGCGGUAAGACAGCGAUGGCGAAGGGAACUUCGGCGGGGCUCCGGCAUUCCCUUUGAUAGCUGUGCAGAAGAGAGAGAGUUGGAGCGGCACGAGGACCGGGAAGAAGCGAUGGAGUGCGCUGCCGGGGUGGCGAUUGAGCAACGAGGGCGGUGGAGCAAGACUUCGGGGAUGACACCGGUGGUCAUUGGGCACCGAAGAUAGGGCGGCGCAGGCGCGGUUUUGCCGGUGGUUGAGAUUUGGCGGAGGCGGGCGUCAUCGUGCGGUGGAUCUGAUGGAAGUGACCGGGGGAACGGCGCUAGAAGCGAGGGCGCACAGGUGAGAAGACAGGCGGGCUGCGGUGGCGCGGGUGAGCGCGAAGCAAGAGACGGUCGGGGGCGCAGCUCUAACAGGGCGGGAAAGAAGCUGUCGCGGCCGGGGUCUGGAUUGGCGACGGAGGAAUCGUCGCGUAGCGCAGUCCGGGCAGCGCGACUGUAGAGGGGCGGCGGAAAAGACGGGAGGCCUCGGGCCUUGCAGCCGGGGGUCCGGCGAGGUGAUGAUGGGCGCGGGCAGCGAGGCACUGCAGAAAGGGUUACAGAGGGCUUCCGCUGCGAUUGGGGAAGGGGGCGCGAGAAUCCAUCCGGUCGCUGCCGGCGACGGGGCGGAGCGGCGGGUGUCGGAGGAAACGAGCCAUGCGGCGGAGAAACUCUGAAGCGGGCAUGCCACUCGAGUGCGUCUGUCGCAGGAGAUCUGGGAGAAAGAUUCUUGUGGGUCCACCGGUCAGUCUCGGUUGGUCCACCGGUCAGUCUUGGUUGGUCCACUGCUCAGAUUGAGAGACAGAGAGAGAGAGAGAGAGAGACUGCUGGGAGGACUUAGAAGGAUCCGGCGGAUGAGUUGGGGUCGGCGGGGUCGGAACCGGGGAAACGGCGGAGAGGGGUCGGGUUCUCAGGGGUCGGGACCGGUACGAGAGGUUGAGCACUUCAACUUGGGAAGCUGAGGUAGGGGAUUAGGGACUCAGGUUAAGAUUAACUUGAAGAUUUUUGGGGUCGGUCGUCACAGCCUACCCCCCUUAAAAGAAUCUCGUCCCGAGAUUUAGGUGUAAGGGUAACCAGUGGGGGUGUACAGUCCUUACCUCCUUGGCAAGACAGAAAACCUGGGAAGUGCUUGUUCAAAUACUCUUCUGUUUCCCAUGUUGCUUCAUCUUCUGUGUGGUUGUUCCAUAAGAUCUUGUACAUUUUUACCACUUGGCGUCGGGUACGCCUCUCCUUAUGGUCAAGAACUCUGGCCGGGUACUCGGCAUAGGUCAAGUCGGGUUCGAUUUGAAGUUGCUCUUGCUCUACUAUCUCGGUUGGGACUUGGACACAUUUCUUUAGUUGAGAUACAUGGAAAACAUCGUGUAUGGCCGAGAGUUGUUCUGGGAGUUGGAUCCGAUAAGCAACGGGUCCACAAAUUUCCACAAUCUCAUAUGGGCCAAUGUAACGGGGAGCCAAUUUCCCUUUUACUCCAAACCGUUGCACUCCUUUGGUCGGGGAAACUCGAAGAUACACAUGAUCACCAAGGUCAAACUACAGGGGUCUUCUUCUCCUGUCGGAGUAACUCUUCUGUCGAGAUUGGGCAGCCUUGAGAUUUGCUUGCAUUACCUUCACUUGCUCUUCGGCUUCUACCACUAAGUCAGGACCAUAGGUUUGUCUUUCUCCAGCUUGGGACCAAUUCAAUGGUGUCCGACAUUUCCGACCAUACAAGGCUUCAAACGGGGCCAUCUUCAAGCUAGCCUGGUAGCUAUUGUUAUAUGAGAACUCUGCCAAUGGCAAGCACUUGUCCCAAUUUUUGUCAUAAUGGAUGACACAAGCUCUCAACAUGUCCUCAAGGAUCUGAUUAACUCUUUCGAUCUGACCAUCGGUUUGAGGGUGGUAGGUUGAGCUAUGGAUGAGCUUGGUGCCCAUGGAUGCUUGUAGCUGUUCCCAAAAGCGUGCUACAAACUAAACUCCUCGAUCAGAGAUGAUGGUCUUAGGCACACCAUGUAGGGAAACUAUGCGGUCAAGGUACAUCUCCGCAUACUUCUUGGCCGUGUAGGUGGUGUGGACAGGAAGGAAGUGGGCGGUCUUGGUCAGAUGGUCCACUAUAACCCAAAUGGAAUCAUGUCGCUGCGAUGAAAGGGGCAGUCCAACAAUGAAAUCCAUGCUGAUGUCUUCCCAUUUCCAAGAGGGAAUAGGUAGGGGCUGCAGGGUACCUGCUACCUUUAGAUGACUGGCCUUGACGCGUUGGCAGGUGUCACACUCUGAAACAUACCGGGCAAUUUCUGGUUUCAUUCCACUCCACCAGAAGAUCUGACGAAGGUCAUGAUACAUCUUAUUGCUGCCAGGAUGGAUUGAGAACUUAGAGAGAUGAGCCUCAUCUAGGAUUUGCUUUCUCAAGUUGGGGUCGGCUGGUACAACCAGUCGGGUUCCAUAAUACACCUUCCCAGUCUCAUCCUGUCGGAAUUGCUUAUACCCUUCAUCCUUCAAUGAAAUCUUCCUGGUGAUCCGCCUCGCUUCCUUAUCCUCUAACUGUGCUGACUUUAUUUGGUCUUCCAAAACAGACUCAAGAGCUAUGUGGCCGAGGGUUCCAUGGGAAACAAUUUCCAAACUGAGUUUUCCCAUCUCAUGACACAAAGUCUCGGUGAAGGUUGUUGCCGACAAGCAGUUGCAAAAGGUCUUGCGGCUAAGAGCAUCGGCCACCACAUUGGCCUUGCCGGGGUGAUAGUGCACUUCCAGAUCAUAGUCCUUUAUCAACUCGAACCAUCUUCUUUGGUGCAUGUUGAGGUCAGCUUGGGUGAAGAUGUACUUGAGGCUCUUGUGGUCGGUGUAGAUGGUGCAGUGAGUGCCCAUCAGAUAGUGCCUCCAUAUUUUUAAGGCAUGGAUCACUGCUGCCAACUCAAGAUCAUGGGUCGGGUAGUUCAGCUCAUGAGGUCGUAACGGCCGUGAGGCACAGGCAAUAACUCGGUUGUCUUGCAUAAGAACACACCCAAGUCCAGUGCCAGAGGCGUCACAGUACACGUCAAACGGCCUAGAGGGGUCGGGUUGGGCCAAAACCGGGGCUGUGGUCAGCAAGUGCUUCAGGGUCUUGAAGGCUUCUUCACAUUUGGCGUCCCACACGAAUCUGACCUCUUUCUUUAGCAGCUCAGUCAUCGGCUUAGCUAUCUUGGAGAAAUCCGGUAUGAAACGCCGAUAGUAGCCUGCUAGUCCAAGGAAACUUCGGAUCUGGUGCACUGAGGCGGGAGGCUUCCAGUCCAUGACUUCCUGUACCUUGCUGGGGUCGAUGGAGUGCGCUACUGGGGCGGCGAUUGAGCAACGAGGGCGGUGGAGCAGGACUUCGGGGAUGACACCGGUGGUCAUUGGGCACCGAAGACAGGGCGGCGCAGGCGCGGUUUUGCCGGUGGUUGAGAUUUGGCGGAGGCGGGCGUCGUCGUGCGGUGGAUCUGAUGGAAGUGACCGGGGGAACGGCGCUAGAAGCGAGGGUGCACAGGUGAGAAGAUAGGCGGGCUGCAGUGGUGCGGGCGAGCGCGAAGCAACAGACAGCCGGGGGCGCAGCUCUGACAGGGCGGGAAAGGAGCUGUCGCGGCCGGGGUCUGGAUUGGCGACGGAGGAAUCGUCGCGUAGCGCAGUCCGGGCGGCGCGACUGUAGAGGGGUGGCGGAAAAGACGGGAGGCCUCGGGCCUUGCAGCCGGGGGUCCGCGAGGUGAUGAUGGGCGCGGGCGGUGAGGCACUGCAGAAAGGGUUGCAGAGGGCUUCCGCUGCGAUUGGGGAAGGGGGCGCGAGAAUCCAUCCGGUUGCUGCCGGCGACGGGGCGGAGCGGCAGGUGUCGGAGGAAACGAGCCACGCGGCGGAGAAACUCUGAAGCGGGCAUGCCACUCGAGUGCGUCUGUCACGGGAGAUCUGGGAGAAAGAUUUUUGUGGGUCCACCGGUCAGUCUCGGUUGGUCCACUGCUCAGAUUGAGAGAGAGAGAGAGAGAGAGAGAGACUGCUGGGAGGACUUAGAAGGAUCCGGCGGAUGAGUUGCGGUCGGCGGGGUCGGAACUAGGGAAACGGCGGAGAGGGGUUGGGUCCUCAGGGGUCGGGACCGGUACUGGAGGUUGAGCACUUCAACUCGGGAAGCUGAGGUAGGGGAUUAGGGACUCAGGUUAAGAUUAACUUUAAGAUUUUUGGGGUCGGUCGUCACACACCUAUUUAUUCAUCUAUUUGAAUCAGAUGGCAAAAAUACCAAGAUGACUAUAGUAAGUAGGUGUUCACCUGUUUUCUGCCUUCAAUUCACGAUUAUUUCUAUCUGAUCAAUUCCAUGAAAAUCACACAAUGCUGUAGACAUAUAAGGUGUAUUUGUCCUCUCCUUUGAUACCAUCAUGAUCAAUCACUCCAUAUCCAACGCUCUCAGAACUUACCAUUGCUGAUAGCCCGCUACUCUCCCCUUUUACCCACAUCUACACACAGCCACCAAAACCUGUAACAACCUUUUUUUACCCCACUAUCUCUAUGGAUGAAUGAUAUUUAUAAUAGUCUAUCUUGGUGAUUAUCUUAAAUUAACAUGCAUUUGUCUAGGUGGCAUGGUGGAUGUAAC